rnacentral:rRNA from 1 species
UACAGAGGUGGCAAGCGUUGUUCGGAAUUACUGGGCGUAAAGGGCGCGUAGGUGGCCUUCUUAGUCAGACGUGAAAUCCCCGGGCUUAACUCGGGAACUGCGUCUGAUACUGGGAGGCUGGAGUUCGGGAGAGGAAUGUGGAAUUCCAGGUGUAGCGGUGAAAUGCGUAGAUAUCUGGAGGAACACCGGUGGCGAAGGCGGCAUUCUGGACCGAAACUGACGCUGAGGCGCGAAAGCCAGGGGAGCAAACGGG